UUUUAGCCCUGAUGGAAAUGGAAAUCUUUUUGUUUUGUCCUUCGACAAGCUCAGGAUGACAAAACAAAAAAUUGUAAUGGACAGCAGGAAUUGCC
rnacentral:sRNA from 1 species